rnacentral:rRNA from 1 species
UUAAAUUGAAGAGUUUGAUCAUGGCUCAGAUUGAACGCUGGCGGCAGGCCUAACACAUGCAAGUCGAACGGUAACAGGAAGCAGCUUGCUGCUUUGCUGACGAGUGGCGGACGGGUGAGUAAUGUCUGGGAAACUGCCCGAUGGAGGGGGAUAACUACUGGAAACGGUAGCUAAUACCGCAUAACGUCGCAAGACCAAAGAGGGGGACCUUAGGGCCUCUUGCCAUCGGAUGUGCCCAGAUGGGAUUAGCUAGUAGGUGGGGUAAUGGCUCACCUAGGCGACGAUCCCUAGCUGGUCUGAGAGGAUGACCAGCCACACUGGAACUGAGACACGGUCCAGACUCCUACGGGAGGCAGCAGUGGGGAAUAUUGCACAAUGGGCGCAA